CACGGACGUGUGCUGUAUGUGUUCUCCACGGACAGCACACGUCCCCAUUUAUUUCAAUGUGUGUAUUCAGGCAUCAGUGUUUUAGCGCGGUCUGCGGGUCCAUGUUUUUAGCACGGAUGCAUGCUCUAUUUUGUCCAUUAACGGAUCCGUC